rnacentral:lncRNA from 1 species
GAAAGUGUUGAUCGUGGCUUUGGUGCAAUGGACUAAAACAGUCGUUACAGUUGUGAAAACGGCUGUGGAGACAGCAGGAAAGACGAUUGAUACAUCGAAUCUCGGGCUUGACGUUGAUGUUAAUGAUCUUCUUGGAGGUGAAAAAGAUGACAGCCCAACACCCACAACACCCACAACACCCGCAACACCCGCAACACCUACACCGAGUACACCCACAACACCUACACCCACUACACCUACACCCACUACACCUACACCGAGUACACCCACUACACCUACACCCACAACACCCACUACACCAACACCCAGUACACCGAGAACAUCCACUACACCUACACCCAGUACACCCACAACACCUACACCCAGUACACCCACCACACCCGCUACACCUACACCCAGUACACCCACUACACCUACACCUACUACACCGAGUACACCCACUACACCCACUGGAACUACUACCAACAAUGCUGCUACCAACACCAACAGUCAAACCUCACAAAGUACCACAUCAACCGCAUCAGCCAAACAAGUUGAGACUCAAACAUCCCAAGAAGUAAUGUCCUUCAUCUCUGACCUAGAGAAG